rnacentral:rRNA from 1 species
GGCGAACGCUGGCGGCGUGCUUAACACAUGCAAGUCGAACGGAAAGGCCCUGCUUUUGUGGGGUGCUCGAGUGGCGAACGGGUGAGUAACACGUGAGUAACCUGCCCUUGACUUUGGGAUAACUUCAGGAAACUGGGGCUAAUACCGGAGAGGAGCUCCUGCUGCAUGGUGGGGGUUGGAAAGUGUCGGCGGUUUGGGAUGGACUCGCGGCUUAUCAGCUUGUGGGUGGGGUAGUGGCUUACCAAGGCUUUGACGGGUAGCCGGCCUGGGAGGGUGACCGGCCACAUUGGGACUGAGAUACGGCCCAGACUCCUACGUGAGGCAGCAGUGGGGAAUAUUGCACAAUGGGCGGAAGCCUGAUGCAGCAACGCCGCGUGCGGGAUGACGGCCUUCGGGUUGUAAACCGCUUUCGCCUGUGACGAAGCGUGAGUGACGGUAACGGGUAAAGAAGCACCGGCUAACUACGUG